GACGAACGCUGGCGGCGUGCUUAACACAUGCAAGUCGAACGGAAAGGCCCUUCGGGGUACUCGAGUGGCGAACGGGUGAGUAACACGUGGGUGAUCUGCCCUGCACUUUGGGAUAAGCCUGGGAAACUGGGUCUAAUACCGAAUAGGACCACGCGCUUCAUGGUGUGUGGUGGAAAGCUUUUGCGGUGUGGGAUGGGCCCGCGGCCUAUCAGCUUGUUGGUGGGGUAAUGGCCUACCAAGGCGACGACGGGUAGCCGGCCUGAGAGGGUGACCGGCCACACUGGGCCUGAGAUACGGCCCAGACUCCUACGGGAGGCAGCAGUGGGGAAUAUUGCACAAUGGGCGCAAGACUGAUGCAGCGACGCCGCGUGAGGGAUGACGGCCUUCGGGUUGUAAACAUCUUUCAAUAGGGACGAAGCGGAAGUGACGGUACCUAUAGAAGAAGCACCGGCCAACUACGUG
rnacentral:rRNA from 1 species